rnacentral:rRNA from 1 species
GACGAACGCUGGCGGCGUGCUUAACACAUGCAAGUCGAACGGAAAGGCCCUGCUUUUGUGGGGUGCUCGAGUGGCGAACGGGUGAGUAACACGUGAGUAACCUGCCCUUGACUUUGGGAUAACUUCAGGAAACUGGGGCUAAUACCGGAUAGGAGCUCCUGCUGCAUGGUGGGGGUUGGAAAGUUUCGGCGGUUGGGGAUGGACUCGCGGCUUAUCAGCUUGUUGGUGGGGUAGUGGCUUACCAAGGCUUUGACGGGGAGCCGGCCUGGGAGGGUGACCGGCCACACUGGGACUGAGGUACGGCCCAGACUCCUCCGGGAGGCAGCAGUGGGGAAUAUUGCACAAUGGGCGGAAGCCUGAUGCAGCAACGCCGCGUGCCGGAUGACGGCCUUCGGGUUGUAAACCGCUUUCGCAUGUGACGAAGCGUGAGUGACGGUAAUGGGUAAAGAAGCACCGGCUAACUACGUG